rnacentral:misc_RNA from 1 species
GGAAGUAAAAGUCGUAACAAGAUUUCCGUAGGUGAACCUGCGGAAGGAUCAUUAUUGUAUAACCGAGGUGCGAGGGCUGUCGCUGACCCGAAAGGUCGUGCACGCCCGAGUGCCCUCACACACAUCCAUCUCACACCUAUGUGCACCACCGCGUGGGUCCCCCUUUGGCUUGUUCGGAGGGGGGCUUACGUUUUCACACAAACUUUGUAUGCAGUGUAGAAUGUAUUUUUUGUUUUUGCGAUCACGCAAUCAAUACAACUUUCAACAACGGAUCUCUUGGCUCUC